AAGGUCAUACACCACAUUGAAAACACCGGUUCUCGUCCGAUCACCAAAGUUAAGCAAAUGUCGGGCCUGGUCAGUAUUUGGGAGGGUGACCACUUGGGAACACCUGAUGCUGUAGGA
rnacentral:rRNA from 1 species